UGUGGCUUGGGUCUAGAAUAUCCCUAAGGACCAACCACACAUUGAAGGCUUGGUCCCUCGCUGGUGGUAUUGGGAGACAGUGGAAGGUUUAGGAGCUUCCUGGUUGCCAUAAAGUGAGCAGCCUCUGCCAUGCCAUUCUGUCAUGAUGUGUUGUCUCAUCACAAGCACAGUUACAUGGUCACCAUGCUACCGACUGGAGCCUCUGAAACUGCGAGCCACAGUGGAUCCUGCAUCACUCAAGUAACUUAUCUUGGACAUCUCAUCACAUCGUUGAUGAACUUUUGGACAGAUGGCUAUCAGAGCUCUUCUUUCAAGGAGCCAAUCUCACAGCCUCCCAACCACCUCUGUGCCUUGUUGUCACUCGUAGUUUCCAUGCAUUAAAGCUGUGUUCGUCCAGGUGACCCUAUCUAAUAAAGGCCAUCAAUUCAUUAGGUGAUCA